AGUCCCGGCUUCCGGCUCCAAGAUGGAUACACCAAAUGUGGAAGCGGGGGAGGCCCAGAACCGCCACGGAAGUGCCUUUCCACCCGCCCACGGCGUGCACCGGGGAAAGUGAUUGUGAGGAUGAAAUGAAGCCAUCGGCCUCCACCCACGGGAAUGGGGAAAGGGCGACGCUGAGGAAGCAACGCGUCGGCGUCCCUGCAGACUAGGGGCGCAAGAAAGUCUUACCCGCGAGGGACCCAGCGCCGCACCCGCUUCUACCAGACCCCACCCUCAGCAUCACGUGACCCAAGCCCUUUUCGCUCCGACUCCCGGAUGUGGUUGCCAAGACAAAGGGGAUUUGGAGAUGGAGGCUUUGUUGGAAGGAAUGCAAAAUCAGGGACAUGAAGGGGGAUUUUUGACAUCCUGUGAAGCAGAACUACAAGAGCUCAUGAAACAGAUUGACAUAAUGGUGGCUCAUAAAAAAUCUGAAUGGGAAGGGCAGACACAUGCUCUUGAAACUUGCUUGGGCAUCCGUGAACAAGAACUGAAGGCUCUUAGGGGUCAGUUGGACAUGAAACACAAUGAGGUUGUAAUGUUGCGUCAACAAGUAGAAGAACAUGAAAAAGUUAAACAAGAGAUGGCCAUGGACUAUAAGCAGGAGUUAAAGAAACUACAUGAAGAAUUAGGCAGACUGAAAAGAAGCUAUGAAAGACUACAGAAAAAGCAUAUAAGAGACUUCAGAGGAAACACCAAAAAUCACAGGGAAGAUCGAUCUGAAAUUGAGAGGUUAACUGGAAAAAUAGAGGAAUUUCGUCAGAAAUCACUGGACUGGGAGAAGCAACGCCUGAUUUAUCAGCAACAGGUAUCUUCUCUGGAAGCACAGAGGAAGGCUUUGGCAGAACAAUCAGAGAUAAUUCAGGCUCAGCUUGCCAAUCGGAAACAGAAAUUAGAGUCUGUGGAGCUGUCCAGCCAGUCGGAAAUUCAGCAUCUGAGCAGUAAGCUGGAGCGGGCCAAUGACACUAUCUGUGCCAAUGAGUUGGAAAUAGAGCGCCUCACCAUGAGGAUCAAUGACUUAGUGGGAACCAAUAUGAAUGUUAUACAAGAGCAGCGGCAAAAGGAAGAAAAAUUAAGGGAAUCUGAAAAACUGUUAGAGAUUCUCCAGGAAGAAAAGAGGGAACUGAAGGCAGUUCUUCAGUCUCAAGAAAAUUUCAUCCAUGAGGAAAGAAUGCAGAAGGAGAAGCUACAAGCAAAAUUAAAGCCAACUGACAGUCAACACACAGUACAGGCCGUGAGGUCACCAGACGAGCCGCAGGCAGAAAGGAGGUACACUUCGCAAGGGCAGGAGGACUUGGGCAACGUGCUAUCUCAGCUGGAUCUCACCCACAAUAGUGAAGAACUUCUGCAGGCAGAGGUGACUCGUUUGGAAGGCAGCUUGGAGUCUGUGAGUGCAACAUGUAAACAGCUGAGCCAAGAACUAAUGGAAAAAUAUGAAGAACUGAAGAAGAUGGAAGUAUAUAACAACGAGUACAGGGCAGAGAUUAAGAAGUUGAAAGAACAGAUUCUGCAGGCUGAACAGAGUUACAGUUCUGCAUUAGAAGGAAUGAAGAUGGAAAUCUCUCAGCUGACUCGGGAGUUACACCAGCGAGACAUCACUAUUGCCUCCACUAAAAGCUCCUCCUCUGACAUGGAAAAGCGACUCAAAGCAGAGAUACAAAAGGCAGAAGAAAAAGCAGUAGAACAUAAGGAGAUUUUGGAUCAGAUGGAGUCACUCAAGUUAGAAAAUCAUCAUCUUUCUGAAAUGGUGAUGAAAUUGGAAUUGGGUUUACAUGAGGCAAAAGAGAUUUCACUAGCAGACCUCCAGGAGAAUUAUAUUGAGGCCUUAAAUAAAUUAGUGUCUGAAAAUCAACAACUGCAGAAAGAGCUGAUGGAUACUAAAUCUAAGCUGGAGAUUUCUACUCAGAUAUGCAAAAAAAACCAUGAGAGAAUCUUUAAACCGACACACAGCAGAGCACCUGAGUUCAAGAAUACAGAGUUCAAGCCAACCCGUGGCCCGUACAGACACGAUGGAGUAAAGACUGAGCACUGCAAAACAGGUCUUCAUUCUCCGAGACGACAGGCGUUGGAUAGUAUAGAGCCCAUGUCCAGAGUCCUCAGCCCCCUGAGCUCUCAGAUCAGCCCUUGCAGUUCCACCAUCUCUUUGCCUUCUAACUUUCUGUGUAAAACUAGCUCUUUGCCUUCAGCGCUAGAUACAAAUGAUGCCAGUUUUUCUGACACUGUCUCUGAGAGUAUAAAUGACCAGGAAGAGUUUAUGUCUUCGUGUCCCUUGCCUGUGUCUCCUCUUGGUUCAAUAGCUACCAGAUUUUUGGAAGAGGAGGAACUGCGGUCCCAUCAUAUUCUAGAGCGCCUGGAUGCCCAUAUUGAAGAACUUAAAAGAGAGAGUGAAAAGACAGUGAAACAGUUCACCACCCUAAAGUAGCCUUUUUAAAAAAUCACAAACUUGGAAAUAAAAAUGAACCCUGAAGAGUUGCUUUCACCCGACGAAGCAGCUUGUCAAAACACGAACAUGUAAAAAUAGCGAAGAUGAGACAUCCUAACACUGUUGGGAAGAAAUCUGAAAACCUGAUGCUUCUCUAAGGCAUUUUCACUGCACUGGUUUGUUUGAAGAACUUUCUCCAGCAAUAACUUGAUCAGGAUGCUCACAGGAGAUGAAAAGGUAAGGGUGCUCUCAUCUAUUUUUGGUGUUUACGGAUGACAUUGUGUUGGGUGAGUUACCUCAUUCCACUUGGCCGGCAUUCCCAGUGAAGUUUGGUCUGGAUUUCUAUGCAGGUUUUAGCUGAAGAGGACAAAGUGGAGUUCUCACUGUGGGGAGGAUGCUGCCUUUCAGUGGAGCCUCCUUUGAUUUCAAUGAGCCGAGGAUGCAGUGGGUGUCAUUGUUCCCACGUGAUUUAUGUGGCUUACCCAGGGUCCCAGAGCCAGGCUCUCUUUAGCAGAGGCCAGGGGUAGAGAGUGCAGACUCUGCAGGCUGGCGACACUGUUCCUAAUCCUGGCUCUACCGUUAACUGGCUGUGUGACCUUGCACAAGUUAAUUAACUGCUCCAUACCUCAGCUUUCUCAUCUGUAAAACGGGAAGCAAUAAUCAUGCGUCCCUCAUAGGGUUUUUGUGAAGAUUAGUAUUUGUAAAGUACAUAGAACAGUGCCUAGCCUAGUAAGCACCAUGAAAGUAUCUUGUCAAGUAGAAAAAAACCACAACACUGUCUCUCUUAUGUCUUCUCAACUUAAAAAAAAAAAUUCUACCUUCCUUCUCCUACCUAGACACAUAUUGCUUGGUAAACUGGGGUGAUGGUAAUCUGUUUGCAAAACACCCUUGAGUCCAGAAACUAAAAGUUACGGGUGAGAAAAAUAACUAUAAAAUAAGUUCUGUCAUUAAGAACAUGCAUAAACAAACAGGUGUCAUGAAUGGCAGUCAAGGGCAGAAAGGCAAGGUUAGAAAAAGAGAUUUGUUGACUUGUUCUAGAAACAGUUUGAGAUCGCAUGUAAAACGUAUCAAAAAGAAACAGUGGAAUCAGGGCAAAGGGAAAAUGAAGGCCAUCAAUGUCAAUUCACAAAUUAACAGAAUAUCUAGUUCAGUUGCCGGGGACAGGCAGCAACUUUACCUCUGAGGUUUUUGUUUGUUUGUUUUUUUAACGUUUAUUUAUUUCUGAGAGAGAGA